AGUUCUGGAUCUUUGAAUUUGAGGUGAAGUUACCAAAGACGGUUUGCUCUGGAUCUGAGUAGCUGAACGAAAUCAGAAAGAAACUUGGCAGCAGAUCCAAGCACUGCAGUUAGUGGGAUAUGAUAUCAUUACAUUUGGUCCAACAUACUGGAAGCACUCAGGAAAGACUUCCAAGAAACAAACCAAAUCCACUAGAUCUUCAGUUCUCCAGGAAUUUAGUUUUGAAUAUGCCAGAAAAGCUUCAGGAUUGUGCCAUAUCAAACAGUUUCAAGAGGAGCGAGAUGCUUGCAGCAUGGGAUGCUUAUCUCUGCUGAAAAGCCUGUUCCAUCAGGCCAGCACCCCUGGAGGCAGCCGAAGAUUACCAGCCUGUCUGAAACUUUGGAGUCAGUGAUCAAGGAACAGAUGGUGGAGUCUCAGGCUCAUCACUCAUUGAUAGUUAAGGGCCAGCUUAAAGUGCAGUUUGAGGAUUCCAAAAAAAGCAAUGCAGUUUCUAGGUCCAUGAAAGUGCAAUUCAGAGACAAGAGCAUAGGUAGUAUCCCACUUUUCGGUUAGAUUUGGCCGUAUCUGAGAACUGCUACAAACUAUCUCAUAGCGUAUUUCCUGUUAAAAUAACUUAAAUCCCAGGUUCUUGAAGAUCUACUUGUAAAAACAUUUUAAAGACCAUUACUCAUUUUACUGCAUUCAUUAUAUUAAAUUCUCUUAAAGAAUUACUAAGAAUAACAUGUGGAGCCAUUAAGCACGAUAAAAUAUGUAAGUAUGAACUGAAGUUUCUUUUUUGUUUGAAGAAUACACGUCUUCUCAAAAGUCACAGCUCUUACUAAAUACGGAUUUUUAUUUUUAAAUCUAUAAAUAGAUGCUAGUGUAAUUCACCAAUUAAGCAAGACUUAUAAGGAAUUUAGGAACUAUCCCUUGCCUAGAGAUGUGACAUUCCUGCUUUAUUUGUUCCAAAUGAAAGUUUAAACUCUAUAAAGUCAAAAGUAAGCUUUGGUUUGUGGCUUCUAAAUGUGAUUACAGGGCAAAGAGUUGUUUCAAAUUCUGCAAGCAGCCUUGAACAACUGGACUCCGUCAAUCUUUCUGUGAUGCUGUAAGGUUUAUCUAAUAAAGAAUGAAUGGGAAG